rnacentral:tRNA from 1 species
AACAAAUUUAAGACGAGUCUUCUAAACUUGUUUAAGGUUAAAACCUGUUUGUUU